UGUCAGGCUACCAGCGAAGAGGCAGAGUAAGGAGCUGAAGAGGUCUGUCGCUUAGAAAUUAAGGCACAAGGUAGCACAGCCAGAAAUCAGAAGAAACAUCAUGGAAUCAAAUAAUUCCCGAUCAGCUGACUCCAGAAGUAAAAAUUCAUCAGGCAAAAAGGAAGAUGGAAAGCAGGAAGCUUCCAAAGAAGAAGAUAAUAAACCUUCAGAUGAAGAAGGG